rnacentral:rRNA from 1 species
UACGAAGGGGGCUAGCGUUGCUCGGAAUUACUGGGCGUAAAGGGCGCGUAGGCGGACAUUUAAGUUAGAGGUGAAAGCCCAGGGCUCAACCUUGGAAUUGCCUUUGAUACUGGCUGUCUUGAGUUCGGGAGAGGUGAGUGGAAUGCCGAGUGUAGAGGUGAAAUUCGUAGAUAUUCGGCGGAACACCAGUGGCGAAGGCGACUCACUGGCCCGAUACUGACGCUGAGGCGCGAAAGCGUGGGGAGCAAACAGG